rnacentral:misc_RNA from 1 species
GAUGAAGAACGCAGCGAAAUGCGAUACGUAAUGUGAAUUGCAGAAUUCAGUGAGUCAUCGAAUCUUUGAACGCACAUUGCGCCCUGUGGUAUUCCGCAGGGCAUGCCUGUUCGAGCGUCAUUUCAACCCUCAAGCUCUGCUUGGUGUUGGGCCCUGCCCGCUGCGGCCGGCCCUAAAGACAGUGGCGGUGCCGCCUGGCCCUGAGCGUAGUACAUCUCUCGCUCCAGUGCCCGGUGGUAGCCUGCCAGAACCCCAACUCUCGUGGUUGACCUCGGAUCAGGUAGGGAUACCCGCUGAACUUAAGCAUAUCAAUAAGCGGAGGA